rnacentral:rRNA from 1 species
CUUAGGGUUGUAAAGCUCUUUUGUCCGGGACGAUAAUGACGGUACCGGAAGAAUAAGCCCCGGCUAACUUCGUGCCAGCAGCCGCGGUAA